rnacentral:rRNA from 1 species
AGACCCGAAACCCGGUGAUCUAGCCAUGGGCAGGUUGAAGGUUGGGUAACACUAACUGGAGGACCGAACCGACUAAUGUUGAAAAAUUAGCGGAUGACCUGUGGCUGGGGGUGAAAGGCCAAUCAAACCGGGAGAUAGCUGGUUCUCCCCGAAAGCUAUUUAGGUAGCGCCUCGUGAAUUCAUCUCCGGGGGUAGAGCACUGUUUCGGCUAGGGGGCCAUCCCGGCUUACCAACCCGAUGCAAACUGCGAAUACCGGAGAAUGUUAUCACGGGAGACACACGGCGGGUGCUAACGUCCGUCGUGAAGAGGGAAACAACCCAGACCGCCAGCUAAGGUCCCAAAGUCAUGGUUAAGUGGGAAACGAUGUGGGAAGGCCCAGACAGCCAGGAUGUUGGCUUAGAAGCAGCCAUCAUUUAAAGAAAGCGUAAUAGCUCACUGGUCGAGUCGGCCUGCGCGGAAGAUGUAACGGGGCUAAACCAUGCACCGAAGCUGCGGCAGCGACACUAUGUGUUGUUGGGUA